GACGAACGCUGGCGGCGUGCUUAACACAUGCAAGUCGAACGGAAAGGCCCUGCUUUUGUGGGGUGCUCGAGUGGCGAACGGGUGAGUAACACGUGAGUAACCUGCCCUUGACUUUGGGAUAACUUCAGGAAACUGGGGCUAAUACCGGAUAGGAGCUCCUGCUGCAUGGUGGGGGUUGGAAAGUUUCGGCGGUUGGGGAUGGACUCGCGGCUUAUCAGCUUGUUGGUGGGGUAGUGGCUUACCAAGGCUUUGACGGGUAGCCGGCCUGAGAGGGUGACCGGCCACAUUGGGACUGAGAUACGGCCCAGACUCCUACGGGAGGCAGCAGUGGGGAAUAUUGCACAAUGGGCGGAAGCCUGAUGCAGCGACGCCGCGUGCGGGAUGACGGCCUUCGGGUUGUAAACCGCUUUCGCCUGUGACGAAGCGUGAGUGACGGUAAUGGGUAAAGAAGCACCGGCUAACUACGCG
rnacentral:rRNA from 1 species